rnacentral:sRNA from 1 species
GCCAGGUGUGGUGACUCAUGCCUGUAAUCCCAGCAAUUUGGGAGACUGAGGCAGGAGGAUUGCAAGUCCAGCUUCAGCAACUUACAAAGAACCUCAGUGACUUAGCAAGACCCUGUCUCAC